rnacentral:rRNA from 1 species
GAUGAACGCUGGCGGCGUGCCUAAUACAUGCAAGUCGAGCGAACAGACGAGGAGCUUGCUCCUCUGACGUUAGCGGCGGACGGGUGAGUAACACGUGGAUAACCUACCUAUAAGACUGGGAUAACUUCGGGAAACCGGAGCUAAUACCGGAUAAUAUAUUGAACCGCAUGGUUCAAUAGUGAAAGACGGUUUUGCUGUCACUUAUAGAUGGAUCCGCGCCGCAUUAGCUAGUUGGUAAGGUAACAGCUUACCAAGGCAACGAUGCGUAGCCGACCUGAGAGGGUGAUCGGCCACACUGGAACGGAGACACGGUCCAGACUCCUACGGGAGGCAGCAGUAGGGAAUCGUCCGCAAUGGGCGAAAGCCUGACGGAACAACGCCGCGUGAGUGAUGAAGGUCUUCGGAUCGUAAAACUCUGUUAUUAGGGAAGAACAAAUGUGUAAGUAACUAUGCGCGUCUUGACGGUACCUAAUCAGAAAGCCACGGCUAACUACGUG